UACGGAGGGUGCGAGCGUUGUCCGGAAUCAUUGGGCGUAAAGGGUGCGUAGGCGGGUCUUUAAGUCAGGGGUGAAAUCCUGGAGCUCAACUCCAGAACUGCCUUUGAUACUGGCAGACUAGAGUUCGGUAGGGGAGUCUGGAAUUCCUGGUGUAGCGGUGAGAUGCGCAGAUAUCAGGAGGAACACCGGUGGCGAAGGCGGGACUCUGGGCCGAUACUGACGCUGAGGAGCGAAAGCGUGGGGAGCAAACAGG
rnacentral:rRNA from 1 species